rnacentral:lncRNA from 1 species
GGGAAAGGGCGGGAGACUGGACGUCCCUCUGCCUGGCCAGGUGUUUGCCCAAGCAGCAGCCCCAAAUCACUGAGAAAGCACUUACCAGCCUGGGAUGGGUAGCAGGAGGUGGUGAAAGCAAUACGUUUUUAAAAGAGAUUCUUCGGUGCUUACUUGCAUCACUUGCACAGCAAGUGUAUGCUCAGCCUGGAUCUCUCUGCGCUGCACGUGCAAAGUCUGAUCCACACAAAAGGGGAUUCCGGUUACGUUGUUACAUGUUCUGGCAGAAUUGUUGAUUUGUGAUAUUGAUCUUGAUAAAGAAAGAUUAAAUAUUUAUUUCACAUCCUUUUUCUUUUA